UUUUUAGACCUUCCUGGAGGAGCUUGCUAUCUAACCGAUAAUCCACGAUAUACCUCACCAACCUUGGCAACCUUCAGCUUGUAUACCAUCGUCGUCAGCCUACUUCACAAGAAAGUAUACAAAAAGAAACCAUCUUUUCCUUACGUCAGAUCGAGGUGCAGUUAAUAGGUUGGGGAAUAGUGAGCUACAAUAACCCCACAAAAAAAACACAACUAUGGACGGCCCAUUGAAAUAAAGCCUAAAACAGGAUUCAGCAGUAAUACUUACAAGAAAAUAAGUAUGAAGCCUAGCUCUAAAAAGCGC
rnacentral:rRNA from 1 species